UCGUCUCCCACAGGACCCGGGCGAAACGCUCCCCCCAACCCACACAACGCCGCCGCAAGGAACCUCUUCCCUCCUCUCGCUCGCUCGGUGGUGAAUCCUCUCUUCCUUGAUCGAAUGGGGCGCGCGAGGGAGCCGAUCCGCGUGAGGUGAUCCAGCGCGGCGCGCUCCAGUCGAGGCGCGCGAGGGGAGACGAGGCACGCGAGAGGAUCCAGCGGACAUGCAGGAGGCGGGUGAAUCGGGGGUCGGCCGAUCGAGCUGAUGCGGGCGAUCCAAUUGCGAAGAAGCCAUGGUUUACGCUUAGGGUCGCGCACGUCCUACACUGUAGGCAUACCGGCAGCCUACCUGCUAGACUAUAAGUGCUGCACGUUGGCGUGAUGGCCGGUCCCGUUGUUCUUGGCCAUCACAUUCCACACCAACUGGCAGAAUGAGGCUGUGCAACUGACCGAAGCAAAAGAAAAGGACUUCAGGUGCUGAUUCUAAUUGGGUCCCAUAAAGUGCCUCUCUAUUGGUAACUUUGCACCUAGGAGUAGGAAUAUGCAAACGUGAUAACUAAUUUAUGCUACAUAUUUUCUCUUUUGGUUAGAUGCAUGCACACAUGCGCUUCUAUGCAGUGCAUUUGCUGAAUGUUUCAUGCUAUAUUCAGUUGACAAGAAUAGUCAGUCAAUAAUGAUUUAGAUGAUAAUUCAAAAUAUUGCACUUGCUAGAUUUAUUGCCCUAUCUGGAUAAUAAAACAUUUGAUUUGUUUGCAGCUUUUGCUAUGCCUUCACGAAAUAAGAAAAAAACUAGACUAGAGGGUUCUUUCAUCCUUUUCUUAUGUGCAUUCAUCUUUCAACUUUUUUCUUAUGUACUCUCCUCAACUCCCAUGUUUUUUUUCUGUACUUGCAACCCAUGAUCACUUGUACGCAAUCUUUAAUUUUUAUCCACUUACGAGAGGGACGUAUCUGCUGCACUUGGCAUAAUUUUGUGCUAACCUAUAAUUAAAUUUUACAUCGGAUAUAUACAAGUCAAUUUGAUAACAUUUCUUCAGGAUGCCCAAAAGCAUUUUUACAAGGCUUCCCAGUUGUAAUAUUAAACAUUAUAUUCAACCUGAUACUGAAGCUCACAUCGUGUAUGUCCAAUCUUAGAGCUACAAUAACAAUCCAAUAUGCUGUCUAUGGUAAACAAAAUGAAAGGGUUGCAAUUUCUACCAUUUUUCUUUUUCUGUUAAACUGUUAUUAUUAUAGUCAACGUUCUUUGUAAUCUGAAAGACUUUCAUUUGCCGUAGUAUUAUAGGUAUUAGACCGG